GAUGAACGCUGGCGGCGUGCUUAACACAUGCAAGUCGAACGAUGAAGCUCAGCUUGCUGGGUGGAUUAGUGGCGAACGGGUGAGUAACACGUGAGUAACCUGCCCUUAACUCUGGGAUAAGCCUGGGAAACUAGGUCUAAUACCGGUUAGGAGCGCCUACCGCAUGGUGGGUGUUGGAAAGAUUUAUCGGUUUUGGAUGGACUCGCGGCCUAUCAGCUUGUUGGUGAGGUAAUGGCUCACCAAGGCGACGACGGGUAGCCGGCCUGAGAGGGUGACCGGCCACACGGGGACUGAGACACGGCCCAGACUCCUACGGGAGGGAGCAGUGGGGAAUAUUGCACAAUGGGCGAAAGCCUGAUGCAGCGACGCCGCGUGAGGGAUGACGGCCUUCGGGUUGUAAACCUCUUUCAGUAGGGAAGAAGCGAAAGUGACGGUACCUGCAGAAGAAGCACCGGCUAACUACGUG
rnacentral:rRNA from 1 species